GAGGGUAGAGCUCAGUGGCAGACCAUGUGCUUAGCAUGCACGAGGCCCUGGGUUCAAUCCCCAGUACCUCCA
rnacentral:tRNA from 1 species